GACGAACGCUGGCGGCGUGCUUAACACAUGCAAGUCGAGCGGUAAGGCCCUUUCGGGGGUACGACGAGCGGCGAACGGGUGAGUAACACGUGGGUGACCUGCCCUCAGCUCUGGGAUAAGCCUGGGAAACCGGGUCUAAUACUGGAUAUGACUCCAUGACGCAUGUUGGUGGGGUGGAAAGCCUUGUGCGGCUGAGGAUGGGCCCGCGGCCUAUCAGCUUGUUGGUGGGGUGAGGCCUACCAAGGCGACGACGGGUAGCCGGCCUGAGAGGGCGACCGGCCACACUGGGACUGAGACA
rnacentral:rRNA from 1 species